UGCUAGCCUUGAGCAAAAAGAAGCCAGGGACAGUGCUCAGGCCCUGAGUCCAAGCCCCAGGACUGGCAAACAAAACAAAACAAAACACAAAACAAUUGCUAAGAAAAAACCAAACUUGCCUUUUUAAUGAAAUUGGCAAGGUGAUUCUAAAAUAUGUAUGGAAAUACAAAAGAUCCAGAACCAUCAAAAGUUGUGAAAAAUAUGAUGGAAAAUUCAUACUACUGGAUUUCAUGACUUAUUUAUUAUAAAGCUACAAAACCCAAAUGAAUGUGGUAAUGGACCAAACAGAAAAGGAUCAUAUAGAACAGAACACAAUAUCAAUAAACAGAUUACAUACACACGGUCAAAUGAUUAUCUCACCUAUACUGCUACUGGAAAUGGAAAAUAAUGCAACUAUUUUGAAAAAUAAUUUGGUAUUUUCUUAAAAUGUUAAACAUACAAUACCAUCUGAGAUAACAAUUUCAUUUCUAGAUUUCCUAAGACAAAUGAAACCAUGUCUACAUGAAUACUUGCAUUCAAAAGCUUCCAAAUGUCCACCAAAAAGCCUAUCAACAGUUAUAUUUCUAUAUGGUGGGAUACUACUACUCAGCAACAGGAAAUAAU